rnacentral:rRNA from 1 species
AUUGAACGCUGGCGGCAGGCUUAACACAUGCAAGUCGAACGAGUGGCGGACGGGUGAGUAAUGCUUGGGAAUCUAGCUUAUGGAGGGGGAUAACUACGGGAAACUGUAGCUAAUACCGCGUACCAUAGGGUGAGACCAAGUGGGAUUAGGUAGUGGGUGAGGUAAAGGCUCACCAAGCCGACGAUCUCUAGCUGGUCUGAGAGGAUUACCAGCCACACUGGUACUGAGACACGGCCCAGACUCCUACGGGAGGCAGCAGUGGGGAAUAUUGCGCAAUGGGGGCAAGCCUGAUGCAGCCAUGCCGCGUGUAUGAAGAAGGCCUUCGGGUUGUAAAGUACUUUCAAUCGGGAGGCGGUACCGACAGAAGAAGCACCGGCUAACUCCGUGCCAGCAGCCGCGGUAAUUC